rnacentral:rRNA from 1 species
GUUGAACGCUGGCGGCAGGCCUAACACAUGCAAGUCGAGCGGCAGCGGAAAGUAGCUUGCUACUUUGCCGGCGAGCGGCGGACGGGUGAGUAAUGUCUGGGAAACUGCCUGAUGGAGGGGGAUAACUACUGGAAACGGUAGCUAAUACCGCAUAACGUCGCAAGACCAAAGAGGGGGACCGUCGGGCCUCUUGCCAUCAGAUGUGCCCAGAUGGGAUUAGCUAGUAGGUGGGGUAACGGCUCACCUAGGCGACGAUCCCUAGCUGGUCUGAGAGGAUGACCAGCCACACUGGAACUGAGACACGGUCCAGACUCCUACGGGAGGCAGCAGUGGGGAAUGUUGCACAAUGGGCGCAAGCCUGAUGCAGCCAUGCCGCGUGUAUGAAGAAGGCCUUCGGGUUGUAAAGUACUUUCAGCGGGGAGGAAGGUGUUGGGGUUAAUAACCUCAGCAAUUGACGUUACCCGCAGAAGAAGCACCGGCUAACUCCGUGCCAGCAGCCGCAGUAACAC